ensembl:lncRNA
AUGCCCGGAGAAGCGGCUUUCCCUGCAGGGAGGGAGGCAGGCAGGCAGCGAGGUCCUGGGUGGGCUCUGAGCACCAGCACCAGGUUUCAGGGCUCUUCCCCGGUUUCUCACCCCAAAUGCCAAUCCCACGGCGGUCUCCAUAUCCCAGCCCCAUCCCUCUCUCCAGGAGCCAUAAGGCCGGGGAGGAUGGGGGGGCAGCGCGGCGCCCUCCCAACCCGUGUCCGCCCCAGCAGCGGGACCGCGUCCCCCCGACACCCGGUGCCCUUUGCGCCGCAUCGGGCGCCCGGGGACCGAGCCGCCGGCAGUGGGGUGGUCGGGCCGGAGCGGCGGCCUCGGCGUGCUUUGCAUCCUGCUCCCUGGGAAAGUAUUAACCAAUUUGCUGCUAAUUGGGAUAUCAUCGGCAAAUCUGAGCAGCUGCUCGCGCCGCGCAGGGCAGCGGCAGGCCAAAGCAAACACUGCCCCGGCACCCCGAGGACACCGGGUACUUCAGAGACAGCUGCCUUCGCUCUCGGGUUUCCAGGUCACUGUUUUCCAGCCGUAUUGCUCCAGUUUUGCCUCUUUCUCACUUUGUUAAUGAGAUUCCACAAGGCAAAGCUUAUCAUCAGCUCUGCAGCGCUCCUCUGCGGAGGGCACAGCCGGCCGAGGAUUACCGGCCUGGCUCUCCCGGGCGGCCCAUGGGGGCGAGAGGAGGCAGGGAGUGGGAUGCGGGGUGCACGGGAGCGAGGGAUGCUGCGGGGGCGAGCGGAGGCAGGGAGUGGGAUGCGGGGUGUGCGGGAGCGAGGGAUGCUGCAGGGGCGAGCGGAGGCAGGGAGUGGGAUGCGGGGUGCGCGGGAGCGAGGGAUGUUGCAGGGGCGAGCGGAGGCAGGGAGCGGGAUGCGGGGUGCGCAGGAGCGAGGGAUGCUGUGGGGGCGAGCGGAGGCAGGGGAGGGAUGUCCGGGAGCGAGGGAUGCUGCGGGGGCGAGCAGAGGCAGGAGGCAGGAUGCAGGGUGUGCGGGAGUGAGGGAUGCUGCGGGGAUGGAAAGCCUGGAUUGCAGCAAGGCGCCUCUCCUCCAGCCCCCGCCGCGGGAACGGCCGUUGCGCCACCGCGGCUCUCUCCAGGGACAAGGAAUUUGGCAGCGAGAGCAGUGUCACUACAGCGCGGUUCCCCUCGAUUGCUCGCCCGCCCUGGGGGGACGUGGUGCCUGGGUUGCUCGCACUCGCUCCAGGCGCUGCGCGCGUGCGGCUUGGCAGUGCCCUGCGGCAGGGCUGGCGGGCGCUUGCUGGCAGCUCCCGCCGGAGCGGGAUUUCACCCUGCUCCCUGCCCUCGCCCGCUCUGUCCCAGCCCAACCGGCGUGCCCACGGGAAGGCAGUUCUCGCCCGCUUCCUGGCACGGAGACCUCAGCAUCGCUGUUGCUCGGCCAGCGUGUUUCGCUCCGCAGGCUUCCCGAUGCGACUCAUGUGCCGGCCGGGGACGGGCCGGAGGUGUCACCGGAGGAGGGGGCAUUUGCGCCGGACGGCGUGCUUAAAAAUAACCCACGGACUUGUCAAGGUUAUAAACGGAGAGGGAACAAAUUGCCUUCGGAGCUGAUUAAACUGCUCGGCGCAGCUCUGCGUGCGCUCACUGCCGUACGCUGGGACGAGCGGGGAGUCGAGCGCAUUAAUUUGUGCUCUGCAGCUCCUGCGCUAAUAAGGCCUUGA